CAGUCGCCACGGUAAUACGUAGGUGGCAAGCGCUGUCCGGAAUUAUUGGGCGUAAAGGGCUCGCAGGCGGUUUCUUAAGUCUGAUGUGAAAGCCCCCGGCUCAACCGGGGAGGGUCAUUGGAAACUGGGAAACUUGAGCGCAGAAGAGGAGAGUGGAAUUCCACGUGUAGCGGUGAAAUGCGUAGAGAUGUGGAGGAACACCAGUGGCGAAGGCGACUCUCUGGUCUGUAACUGACGCUGAGGAGCGAAAGCGUGGGGAGCGAACAGGAUUAGAUACCCCCGUAGUCCCUGUCUCUUAUAC
rnacentral:rRNA from 1 species